UACAGGGGGUGCAAACGUUGCUCGGAAUCAUUGGGCGUAAAGCGCACGUAGGCGGUCUGUUAUGUCGGAUGUGAAAUCCCGAGGCUCAACCUCGGAACUGCGUCUGAAACUACUCGACUAGAGUACUGGAGAGGGUAACGGAAUUCACGGUGUAGCAGUGAAAUGCGUAGAUACCGUGAGGAACACCAGAGGCGAAGGCGGUUACCUGGACAGUUACUGACGCUCAGGCACGAAAGCAUGGGGAGCAAAAGGG
rnacentral:rRNA from 1 species